GUUUGGCCCCGUGGAGAAGUGGCUGUGGUUGAACACAGGAGUAUACAAGCUGAAGGCGCAGCAAAUCAGAGAUACAGAAAGUGCUGAGCACGUGGAAAAUGUCUCCCAGGUGACUCCUCGUGACACUGCUGAGAGAAGAUGAAGCUGAAGUAAAGCUUACUGUGAGGAAUCUGAAGUAUAAUUUUGAAUGACACAGAUACCAGUCUAUCCCAGGGGACUGAAGGAACAAGGCAAUGGUCAGCCUGGAUGUGGCACCAGGUAUGGGCAGGGAGGAGACCAGAGUCCCCGGAGGAAACCCACCAAAACAGAGAUAACAUGCAAACUCAACACACACACAUGACGAAGGCUGAAAUCGAAAUCCCUAACCACAAGGGUGCGAGGAAAACAUGUGACACAUUAAGCCACCCGGUAUCAUUCCUAGUAUAUCUAAAAUUAAAUGUCUACUUCUCUCCAAGCAUACUAUGAAAUACUUUGUAGAUUAGUAGUAACUAUAA